rnacentral:rRNA from 1 species
AUGGGGUCGUUCGAGGAACGGGUGAUGAACGAAUUCGAGGCGCUGCGGCUGCUUCAGUCCAAGGUGGAAGGGAUCGAGGCGAUCCAGGCGCGCCUCGACGGGCUGGAUGCGAAGUUUGAAGAGCAAGUCUCGCGGCUGGAUCAGGUACAGGCCAAGGUAAAUCUGUCUGUGAGUUCAAUCGGAGAGAUCCACCAAGAGCAAGUUCAGGUGGCGCGAGUGCUGAAGGAAUCCACCAGCGUCAGAAAUGCACAGUUGGACCGGAUCGCGGCAGAGGGCUGUCUGGGAGCGUCGCCGCAGGCGGGAGAAAAUUUUGGGGCACCGGCUACAUCACGGGCACAGCCGCCACCACAACCACCACCUCCGCCUUUGCGACCUCGCCCAUCAGCACCUCCGCAGGUACCUUCCGCAUCGCCGGGUCUGGAUGAGCAGAGUAGCAAGCGACCCUGGAUGCCUAAGAUGGAGUUCCCUAAGUUUGACGGCGAGAAUGUACGCAUAUGGUUGGACAAUUGUGAAGCUUAUUUCCUGCUAUAUCAGAUUCCUGAAUCCUUCAAGCUAAUGUCCGCAUCGCUGCACUUGCAAGGCAAUGCCGCUCACUGGUUUCAGUCAUAUAAACUGACAGAAUACUGCAGUACUUGGGAAAAUUUUUGUACAUCAAUUACGCAGGAGUUUGAGGUCAAUGUACACAGAACUUGCAUGAGAGACUUGCUGAUGUUGCGUCAGCACGGCACGGUUCAGGAAUACCGUACUGCAUUCCAUCAGAUUGUGUACCAAGUUCGCAUGUAUGAGGGCAAUCUCAGUGAAACAAUGUUGGUUACACAGUUUGUGCUGGGACUGAAGGAGGAACUGAGAGCUGCGGUCGAAAUGCAAUUGCCCAGUACCGUGACUAGUGCUUGUGAAUAUGCUCUGGUGCAGGAGGCUUUGCUCGAUCGGGCCAAACAAGGGAACAACAAGCUGGCUCGGUCUGCAGUGUACACUAAACAACAACCACGCCUAGAGCAGACUCAACGACCUCAGCUAGCUGCCGGAGAUAUGUGGAAGGCACGCCAGCUGAAGGACUACCGGCGACAUAAUGGACUCUGUUACAGUUGUGGCGACAAGUUCGCACCAGGUCAUGUGUGUGCUAGCAAACAGGUGGCCCAGAUCAAGGCCCUGAACAUGGCUGAAGAGGCCGCUCAGUUGACUGACGCAGUCUUGGACGCAAUAGCUACAGAGGAGGCGAUUGAGGAAGCUGCUGCAUAUCUUUCAGUCAAUGCCCUAGCAGGAACCACAAACACUAAAACCAUUCAGAUUAGAGCUCUGGUAGGAAAUCAGGUGAUGCUACUGUUAGUUGACUCAGGCAGCUCUCAUACUUUUCUGGAUCAACAGUUGGCAGACAAAUUGAAAUGUCCAACAGUACCCUUACCUCAGCCUAUGACUGUGAAAGUUGCAAAUGGGGAGAAAUUGCAGUGCACCCACAUGGUGCAGGGACUGAGUUGGUGGACACAGGGGCAUACCUUCUCCACAGAUAUGAGAGUUCUGUCAUUGGGGGGCUAUGAUGCCAUACUUGGGAUGGAUUGGCUCUCACAAUGGAGUCCAAUGACAUGCCACUGGGAGGAACAAUGGAUCCAGUUCCAAGACAAAGCUACUACAGUCACACUGCAAGGUCUGAAGAUACAACCAGUAACUCAACUGCAAGAGUUGACACUGGAUCAAGUGGUGAAGUGUCACAAAGGGAAUGAUAUUUGGGCCACUGCAUUGCUAUCUGCCCAAACAAUGCCAUCCGUAUCUCCAACUCCAGACUGUAUUCAGGACACCAUAAACUCUUUUGCUGAUAUAUUCCAGGAGCCCAAAGGAUUACCACCCCAUAGAGAAUUUGACCAUGCUAUUUCUCUGCUGCCCAACACUACGCCGGUGAAUGUUAGGCCUUACAGGUACUCUCCCCUUCAGAAGGAUGAGAUAGAAAGACAAGUCUCUGAAAUGCUAGCAGCAGGAAUUAUCUCUCCCAGCAUGUCCCCGUUUGCUUCCCCAGUUCUGUUAGUGAAAAAGAAGGAUGGAAGUUGGCGAUUCUGUGUGGACUAUAGAAGGUUAAAUGCAGUGAAGGUUAAGAACAAGUUUCCUAUGCCAGUUGUGGAUGAGCUGUUGGAUGAGCUUGCGGGUACCAAAUGGUUCACCAAACUAGACCUCAAGGCAGGAUAUCAUCAAAUCAGAAUGGUAGAGGCUGAUGAGCAUAAGACUGCUUUCAAGACCCAUUUUGGACAGUUUCAAUUUAGGGUCAUGCCAUUUGGUCUAUCAGAAGCACCGGCAACUUUUCAGUGCAUUAUGAAUUUCAUAUUUGAUGGAUUAACAAGAAAAUUUGUUUUGGUUUUCAUGGAUGAGAUAUUGGUCUUCAGCAGAAAUUUGGAAGAUCAUAAGAAACAUUUACAACAGGUUUUUCAAAUUUUGAGAGAACAUCAACUCUAUGUCAAACUCAGUAAAUGUUCUUUUGCCCAGCAGCGGUUAGAGUAUUUAGGCCAUAUUAUUUCUGACAAAGGUGUGGCCACUGAUCCAAGCAAGACAACUGCUAUGGUCAACUGGCCAGUUCCUACUACAGUCACUGAGCUCAGAGGAUUUCUUGGACUCACUGGUUACUAUAGGAAGUUUGUGCAACAUUAUGGGAUUAUUGCCAAACCACUACCAACUUACUGA